CCUACGGGAGGCAGCAGUGGGGAAUAUUGCGCAAUGGGCGAAAGCCUGACGCAGCGACGCCGCGUGAGGGAGGAAGGUCUUCGGAUCGUAAACCUCUGUCAGCAGGGAAGAAGGGUGACGGGGCUAAACAGCAGUGAAUUGACAGUACCUGCAAAGGAAGCACCGGCUAACUCCGUGCCAGCAGCCGCGGUAAUCCGGAGGGGGCGAGCGUUAAUCGGAAUGACUGGGCGUAAAGCGCUCGUAGGCGGUAUGUCAAGUCAAGGGUGAAAGCCCCGCGCUCAACGUGGGAACUGCCUUUGAACCUGGCAACCUGGAGUGUGUGAGAGGCUAUUGGACUUCCUGUUUU
rnacentral:rRNA from 1 species